rnacentral:rRNA from 1 species
UUACGAAAACUCUACAAUGCGCGAAAGCGUGAUAGGGGAAUUCCAAGUGCUUUACCAAUGGUAAGGCUUUUGCCAAGUGUAAGUAGCUUGGCGAAUAAGUGGUGGGUAAGACCGGUGCCAGCCGCCGCGGUAACCCCGGCGCCACAAGUGGUAGCCACAUUUAUUGGGUCUAAAGCGUUCGUAGCCGGUUUGGGUUAUUUUAUGUGAAAUCGUUGGGCUUAACUUAACGGUGUGCAUAAAACACUCCCAAACUUGAGACCGGGAGGAGGUAGAGGUAUUCUGGGGGGAGCGGUAAAAUGCUAUAAUCCCUAGAGGACCACCAGUGGCGAAGGCUUCUAUCUAGAACGGGUCUGACGGUGAGGAACGAAGGCCAGGGGAGCAAAUCGG